AUGCUUAGGGCUGUUUUGAAGAAUAAUAAGAAAAUGUGGGAGGAAUGCUUGCCUCAUAUUGAAUUUGCUUAUAAUCGUUCAUUGCAUUCUACUACUAAGAUGUGCCCUUUUGAAGUUGUGUAUGGUUUCCUACCUCGUGCACCUAUUGAUUUGUUGCCUCUUCCAUCUUCGGAGAAGGUUAAUUUUGAUGCUAAACAACGUGCUGAAUUGAUUUUAAAAAUGCAUGAGUUAACUAAGGAAAACAUUGAGCGUAUGAAUGCUAAAUAUAAACUUGCUGGAAAUAAGGGUAGAAAACAUGUUGUGUUUGCACCUGGAGAUCUUGUUUGGUUACAUUUGCGUAAGGAUAGAUUUCCUGAUUUGCGCAAAUCAAAGUUAAUGCCACGUGCUGAUGGUCCCUUUAAGGUGUUAGAGAAAAUAAAUGAUAAUGCAUAUAAACUUGAGCUGCCUGCAGAUUUUGGGGUUAGUCCCACUUUUAACAUUGCAGAUUUGAAGCCUUAUUUGGGUGAGGAAGAUGAGUUUCCGUCGAGGACGACUUCAUUUCAAGAAGGCGAGGAUGAUGAGGACAUCAAUACAAUUGUUACACCCACAGCCCCUGCUGCUACAUAUACGGGACCAAUUACUAGAGCUCGCGCACGCCAAUUAAAUUAUCAGGUACUUUCGUUUCUUGGUAAUGAUUCUAAUGUUCAUGAGAAUACGAUGCUGCCUAAAUUGGAUACAUUUGUUUUGCUUACAAAUGAAGGGCCUAGCUUGGAGAAGGAUGAACAUUGGAGCAAGAACAAGCAUGGAGAUGAUGCCAUGCGCAAGGGGAACAAGAACGGAGUUACAAGUGAUGAUUUCAGGACUUUGAAGCCACCAUAA
rnacentral:rRNA from 1 species